GAUGAACGCUGGCGGCGUGCCUAAUACAUGCAAGUCGAGCGAACAGACGAGGAGCUUGCUCCUCUGACGUUAGCGGCGGACGGGUGAGUAACACGUGGAUAACCUACCUAUAAGACUGGGAUAACUUCGGGAAACCGGAGCUAAUACCGGAUAAUAUAUUGAACCGCAUGGUUCAAUAGUGAAAGACGGUUUUGCUGUCACUUAUAGAUGGAUCCGCGCCGCAUUAGCUAGUUGGUAAGGUAACGGCUUACCAAGGCGACGAUGCGUAGCCGACCUGAGAGGGUGAUCGGCCACACUGGAACUGAGACACGGUCCAGACUCCUACGGGAGGCAGCAGUAGGGAAUCUUCCGCAAUGGGCGAAAGCCUGACGGAGCAACGCCGCGUGAGUGAUGAAGGUCUUCGGAUCGUAAAACUCUGUUAUUAGGGAAGAACAAAUGUGUAAGUAACUAUGCACGUCUUGACGGUACUUAAUCAGAAAGCCACGGCUAACUACGUG
rnacentral:rRNA from 1 species